rnacentral:misc_RNA from 1 species
UUUCCGUAGGUGAACCUGCGGAAGGAUCAUUAAUGAAAUAACUAUGGCGUUGGUUGUAGCUGGCUCCUAGGAGCAUGUGCACACCCGUCAUUCUUAUCUUUCCACCUGUGCACUUAAUGUAGGUCUGUAUAACUCUCGCUCAUACCGAGCGGAUGCAGGGAUUGCCGUGUCGAAAGACCGGCUCUCUUUGAAUUUCCAGGUCUAUGUACCUUUACAAACUCCAAUUGUAUGAUAAUGAAUGUAGUCAAUGGGCUUUCAUGCCUAUAAAACAAAAUACAACUUUCAGCAACGGAUCUCUUGGCUCUC